AGAGAUGUGUGAUGACGCAUAUCAAUAAGCGGAGGAAAAGAAACUAACUAGGAUUCCCUCAGUAACGGCGAGUGAAGCGGGAAGAGCUCAAAUUUGAAAUCUUCAAGGGUUCUACCUUUACGAAUUGUAGUUUAAAGAAGUGUUUUCUGUUGGAGUUUCGGUAAAAGUUCUUUGGAAUAGGACAUCAUAGAGGGUGAGAAUCCCGUAUUUGAGUCAUUAUUUCCUAGCUUUGUGAUACACUUUCAAAGAGUCGGAUUGUUUGGGAAUGCAGUCCAAAAUGGGUGGUAAAUUUCAUCUAAAGCUAAAUACUGGCGAGAGACCGAUAGCGAACAAGUACCGUGAGGGAAAGAUGAAAAGAACUUUGAAAAGAGAGUUAAACAGUACGUGAAAUUGUCAAAAGGGAAGCGUUUGACACCAGUGUUGUUUUCUCGAAAAUCAAUUAAGAAUGGCGGGAUGUUGUGUUGUAUUGACUUUAUCAGCUUUCUGCACUUUUUUCCUGUCUUUUUUAAUGCACUUUACGUUUAACAAGUCAACAUCAAUUUCUUUUGCUGUAAAAGAGUCAUUGGAAGGUGGCUUUCUUUUCGGAGAAAGUGUUUAUAGCCUUUGGCUUCUGCAGUCGGAGAGAUUGAGGUCUGCGGCGUAGAUCCUUCGGGGUUAGAUGCAUUUGUGCUAAGUUAUAGCCUUUCAUAGACAACUUGUUGACUAUGAUCAGUCAUGUAGCUUACUCGCUUAUGUCAUUUUACCUACGCUUAGGAUGUUGAAGAUGUAGCACAUCAU
rnacentral:rRNA from 1 species